CCUACGGGAGGCAGCAGUGGGGGAUAUUGCACAAUGGGGGAAACCCUGAUGCAGCGACGCCGCGUGUGGGAAGACGGUCCUCUGGAUUGUAAACCACUGUCCCCAGGGACGAAGAUGACGGUACCUGGGGAGGAAGCUCCGGCUAACCACGUGCCAGCAGCCGCGGUAAUACGUAGGGAGCGAGCGUUGUCCGGAAUUACUGGGUGAAAAGGGAGCGUAGGCGGGACUGCAAGUUGGGUGUCAAAUCUACCGGCUCAACCGGUAGCCGCACUCAAAACUGCAGAUCUUGAGUGAAGUAGAGGCAGGCGGAAUUCCUGGUGUAGCGGUGAAAUGCGUAGAUAUUAGGAGGAACACCAGUGGCGAAGGCGGCCUGCUGGGCUUUAACUGACGCUGAGGCUCGAAAGCGUGGGGAGCAAACAGGAUUAGAUACCCCAGUAGUC
rnacentral:rRNA from 1 species